UCUACUACAGGGCCGGAGCAGAGUGGGAUCAUAUCAGGGUUCGUUUCCUGAGAAAGAGGGAGAGAGAUCAGAGCCCCUGCCGUGCUUUUGAUUAUGAAUUAAAAGGGAUUGCAAAUG